rnacentral:rRNA from 1 species
GACGAACCGUGCGAACGUUGUUCGGAUUCACUGGGCUUAAAGGGCGCGUAGGCGGACUCGCCAGUCUGUGGUGAAAGCCCCCAGCUUAACUGGGGAAGUGCCGUGGAUACUGCGAGUCUGGAGGAGGGUAGGGGCAUCUGGAACGCUGGGUGGAGCGGUGAAAUGCGUUGAUAUCCAGCGGAACUCCGGUGGCGAAGGCGAGGUGCUGGACCCUUUCUGACGCUGAGGCGCGAAAGCCAGGGGAGCAAACGGG